rnacentral:rRNA from 1 species
UGCGUAGGCGGCCGGGUAAGUCUGACGUGAAAUCUUCAAGCUCAACUUGGAAACUGCGUCGGAUACUAUUCGGCUAGAGGAAUGGAGGGGAGACUGGAAUACUUGGUGUAGCAGUGAAAUGCGUAGAUAUCAAGUGGAACACCAGUGGCGAAGGCGAGUCUCUGGACAUUUCCUGACGCUGAGGCACGAAAGCCAGGGGAGCAAACG